CUGAGUGAAGGGCUCCGGCCCGACCUCCAACCCCAUGUUUUCUCACCUUGUUGCUUCGGGGGGUGACGCCGUCCCGACGGCCGACGCCCCCGGAGAACCACUAAACUCUGCAUCAUUUGCGUCUGAGUAAAUUUUAAAUCAAAUUA
rnacentral:misc_RNA from 1 species